rnacentral:rRNA from 1 species
GUAGGACUACCCGCUGAACUUAAGCAUAUCAAUAAGCGGAGGAAAAGAAACUAACAAGGAUUCCCCUAGUAACUGCGAGUGAAGCGGGAAAAGCUCAAAUUUAAAAUCCUUCGGGAGUUGUAAUCUAUAGAAGUGUUUUCGGUCGUUGCCUCGGACAAGUCUCUUGGAACAGAGCGUCAUAGAGGGUGAGAAUCCCGUCCUUGCCGAGCUCCCAACGUCUAUGUGAUACACUUUCAAAGAGUCGAGUUGUUUGGGAAUGCAGCUCAAAAUGGGUGGUAAACUCCAUCUAAAGCUAAAUAUUGGCGAGAGACCGAUAGCGAACGAGUACCGUGAGGGAAAGAUGAAAAGCACUUUGGAAAGAGAGUUAAACAGUACGUGAAAUUGUUGAAAGGGAAGCGCUUGGAGUCAGUCGCGUUGCAAGGACUCAGCCUCACGGUGUAUUUCUUUGCAACGGGUCAACAUCAGUUUCGACCGCGGAAAAAGGGCUUGGGGAAUGUGGCAACCUCGGUUGUGUUAUAGCCCCCUGUCGUACGCCGCGGUUGGGACUGAGGUCUGCUUACAGGAUGUUGACGAAAUGGCUCUAAGCGACCCGUCUUGAAACACGGACC